CGAUAACGAACGAGACCUCGGCCCUUAAAUAGCCCGGUCCGCGUCCGCGGGCCGCUGGCUUCUUAGGGGGACUAUCGGCUCAAGCCGAUGGAAGUGCGCGGCAAUAACAGGUCUGUGACGCCCUUAGAUGUUCUGGGCCGCACGCGCGCUACACUGACAGGGCCAGCGAGUACAUCACCUUGGCCGAGAGGCCCGGGUAAUCUUGUUAAACCCUGUCGUGCUGGGGAUAGAGCAUUGCAAUUAUUGCUCUUCAACGAGGAAUGCCUAGUAGGCACAAGUCAUCAGCUUGUGCCGAUUACGUCCCUGCCCUUUGUACACACCGCCCGUCGCUACUACCGAUUGAAUGGCU
rnacentral:rRNA from 1 species